rnacentral:rRNA from 1 species
UACGUAGGGUGCGAGCGUUAAUCGGAAUUACUGGGCGUAAAGCGUGCGCAGGCGGUUUUGAAAGACAGGCGUGAAAUCCCCGGGCUCAACCUGGGAACUGCGCUUGUGACUCCAAGACUAGAGUACGGCAGAGGGGGGUAGAAUUCCACGUGUAGCAGUGAAAUGCGUAGAGAUGUGGAGGAAUACCGAUGGCGAAGGCAGCCCCCUGGGCCAGUACUGACGCUCAUGCACGAAAGCGUGGGGAGCAAACAGG